rnacentral:lncRNA from 1 species
UUCUUUUCUGUCAAACAUUAACAAGAAUCAGCCAUAGGUACCCAUAUAUCUCCUCCCUUUUGAACCUCUCACCCCUCUAGGGUGAUACAAGACCAUCUCUUAGUGAAGACCCAGGGGUGCUUUAUGGAAACCACUGUGAGCGAAUGACACUCGAACUGCAUCUGCCAGCUUUACGGGAAGAGGUAGGAGAUGACAAGACUGCCAUCAAAUGUGAAACCUCGACCCCCCACCUCGCUGCAGUCCCUUCGGCUGGACCGCCUGCACACGGGGGCGCUGCGCAUAGCCACCCACGAGGAUAUCAGGGACACCCACAACUCGACAGGCUCUCAGGACAACCCCGGGAACAACCCCAGCAGCAGAACCAGCAGGCAGGACUCGCUGCACAAAGCCCCAAAGAAAAAGGGCAUCAAUCAAGUCCUCCAUUAGCUGCUUGUUUCGCAAGAAGGAAAAGGGCCAGCCUGAAAACCCCAGCAAGGAGGCAUUAGGACCAGGCAGCAUCUUUACCCCUAGCACCACCUGGAAAGCCCCAGUGAACGCUGACAACUAGAAAUGCAGAAAAUAAGGGCUGCUCCUAAGUUAAACUGGCAGAGCAGCAAGCACAGGUUGUAAAGAGGAAAACACAUGAUGAGCAACAACAGGGCUGACAGAAACAAGCAGGGAUGCUUUCACCCACAUAAAGAAAAUAUCUGUGCCAUUCAGAAGAGGAGCCCAUCAGCCCUUGGAGGGACAGUUGGAACCAGAAUGAAAACCGAGGCCAUGGUCAGCAGUGCCCACCACACGGCCUGGGUGGCAUGGUGUCACUCACGGGGCUUCCUGCAUCCCCAGAGAUGCUGGCCAUAACGUCUCUGAGUGCCAGGCUGGGCAGCGUCCCUGUGUGAGCUAAGGUAUCACUGCUCUCCUUUCAGUGCUGCUGUGGGGCCCUCUGUGGGCAGCCACCCUCAUCCUCUGCCCUGCCACCCCCUGGGGCCCGGCUGUCCCCCUGGGAUCUUUUCAGGCCUUGAGCUUGGGUAUUCCCAGCCCUCUGCCACUCGGGACUGGGAUGCGACUCAGGACUUGGCCUUGAGAUGUCAAGGAGACCGUGAAUCUGUAAGGACACCGCCCUGGGGCCCAAAAGAAAGCAGGAGAGCAAAGCCCCCAUGGCGAGGAAUCAGAGCUGUGGAACGUGCCCACAGGCUCCACUGCGUCCUGCACAAGUGCCUCUUCUUUGCCUCUCCUUGGCCUGAAACAGAGCCCAGCUGCUGCUGCUCCACAGGUGAUUCCUAAAGAUGUACCUCCUGCAAGAGCUAUUGUCCUGCUGCUCUGGGCUGCCUGAAUGUGCUCAGGAGCAUCAGACAAGUGGAGCUGCCACACCUCAUACUUCAGGAGGGGGCCUGAUACUGGGGAAGGGUUGGAGGGUGGGGGAGGGUCUGAGGGUGGGGGAGGACCUGAUGCUGGACUAGGGCGUGAAGCUGGACUAGGGUCUAAUGCUGGACUAGAGCCUGAUGCUGGGCUAGGGUCUAAUUCUGGGGGAGGGUCUGAUGCUGGGGGAAGGUCUGGUGCUGGACGAGAGCCUGAUGCUGGAGGAGGGUCUGGCUGGACUAGGGCCUGAUGCUGGGGAAGGGCCUGAUGCUGGAUGAGGGCCUGACACUGGAGGAGGGUCUGAUGCUGGGGGGAAGGUCUGAUGAUGGUGGAAGCCUGCUCCCAGAUGUACACGGAGUUAAGGAUAAAUCUCUAUGAGAAAUCUUUUUUUCAUACUUUCCUAACCACCUUGCUAUGUUCUUUUUAACUUAAGGAUAAUUUUGUGCAAUAUCGGUUGAUUUCUGCCAUACAUCAACAUAAAUUACCCAUAGGUGUACAUAUGUCCUGUCCCUCUUGAAUCUCCCUCCCACCUCCCCUUGCUACAUUCUUGUUUCUAUGGAUAUAUGAAUAAUAAAGACUGUUGACUAAAAUAACA